rnacentral:piRNA from 1 species
GAAAUGGAUGAGCAGCUUAUUAAUAGA